CUGGAUCCCGGGUGGACGACGGGAGAGGGCUGCGGCCCAGAACCCUGAAGCCCAGAGGUCUCGGGACGGGGAUACCGGUGACGUCGGGAGGCACCAACGGGUGUUCGGACGUGCGUUUCCCUCCCCGUAAUCACACCGUUGCGCUCAUCCGUCCAUCCUCGGCGCGCUAGCCAUCUUGGUAAAACUAAGGAGACUCAACGGGUGACCUAACCUGUGGGAGACCCUGGAAGCAGCACAGAGGAAAAGAUUCAGAAACUAAGGAUAAAGAUGCAGGAAGAUCGCGAUGGAGAGGAAUGAAAUUGAGGAGCUCUAAUGGAUGGUAUUUCUCUUCUUAGGAAGGAUCACCAGGACCAGUGUCGGCAUUGUCCUGGACAUAUUCUACUUGUUCAAAACUUCUCUGAAGACCUUUCCCUUGUGUUCCCCUUAGAGAAGACUCUCACGAAGAUUACCAAAAUCCUGUUCUUUGGGAUUUUAAUUGACCAAUCCAGCCUUAGUCUGGGAACCCCAAAGCACUCCACCUGCAGACUCUAAUCAAGGAAUGUGCCCAGGUCCUGCUGUGCUCUUUCUGCCUGCACCCUGCCUUGACCUGCCUGCGUGGCCCUUUGUGGCAUGCUGUGUACCUACUCCAGGACCUGGAGGCAGUGCCCUUAUCCGGCUGGAGAUGUUUCCCAUUGAGCCUGGAGAUUUAAUCUGCAGAUUUGCACCAGCGGUGACACAACCUCCUCAAGGGCACUUGCGAAACACGUUUCUGGGUCCUGUGCAAAGUGAGGCAAGCGGAUUCCUGAAAAUGACAGCGCAGUCCAACCACAGCUCAAGUCAAAAGCCAUGAGCACAUCAUGAAAAACAAACCCAUCACUGAACAAAUAUAUGAUAUGUUUACAUUGCAACUAAAUAUUUCACAGUGAGAAACAAGUCUUUUCUGUAAAAA
rnacentral:lncRNA from 1 species